rnacentral:rRNA from 1 species
CCUACGGGAGGCAGCAGUGGGGAAUAUUGCACAAUGGGGGAAACCCUGAUGCAGCGACGCCGCGUGAGUGAAGAAGUAUUUCGGUAUGUAAAGCUCUAUCAGCAGGGAAGAAGAAAGACGGUACCUGACUAAGAAGCCCCGGCUAACUACGUGCCAGCAGCCGCGGUAAUACGUAGGGGGCAAGCGUUAUCCGGAUUUACUGGGUGUAAAGGGAGCGUAGACGGCUGUGCAAGUCUGAAGUGAAAGCCCAGGGCUCAACCCUGGAACUGCUUUGGAAACUGUGGAGCUAGAGUGCUGGAGAGGUAAGUGGAAUUCCUAGUGUAGCGGUGAAAUGCGUAGAUAUUAGGAGGAACACCAGUGGCGAAGGCGGCUUACUGGACAGUAACUGACGUUGAGGCUCGAAGGCCAGGGGAGCGAAAGGGAUUAGAUACCCUAGUAGUC